rnacentral:rRNA from 1 species
UGGGGAAUAUUGGACAAUGGGGGAAACCCUGAUCCAGCGACGCCGCGUGGGUGAUGAAGGCUUUCGGGUCGUAAAGCCCUGUCAGGAGGAAAGAAUGCUCCUAUGAUAAAUACUCAUAGGAAGUGACGGUACCUCCAAAGGAAGCACCGGCCAACUCCGUGCCAGCAGCCGCGGUAAGACGGAGGGUGCAAGCGUUGCUCGGAAUUACUGGGCGUAAAGGGUGCGUAGGCGGCCUUUCAAGUCCGGCGUGAAAGCCCAGGGCUCAGCCUUGGAAGUGCGCUAGAAACUGAAUGGCUAGAGUAUCGGAUGGGAGAGUGGAAUUCCUGGUGUAGCGGUGAAAUGCGUAGAUAUCAGGAGGAAUACCGGUGGCGAAGGCGACUCUCUGGACGAUAACUGACGCUGAGGCACGAAAGCGUGGGGAGCAAACAGGAUUAGAUACCCAGGUAGUCCCUGAGCGGGCUGGCAAGGCGCAU